UAGAAUUCAAAGUGUGCACUUUAUGAAACUGGAGAGUGUUCAGUUUUCAAAUUUAAAAAUAGCCAUAUUUGCUUGGUCAAAUUAGUAUAUCUAUAUAAAAAUCAAAACAAUACAUGUAAGUUUUUAGGGGAAGAAUGAAAAUUUUUCCUACAAUUAUACUUAUGGAAAGAGAUUUUUGUCCCAUCAUAAACUGUCAAGAAUAGAGGACUUAUUCAUCUAGAAUUUUUUUCAACUCUUCAAAAUCAGUUUACCUUUUCUUUUUAAAAUGUAAUGUGAUUUUCAUUCCUGUUAUUCACCAAAUAUUUCUGUUGUAUGGCCCUGUGACUAGUUCCUGGUGAGUGAAUUGUGAGUAAAAGAGGCUUCUGGUUUAGAGCACUUAAGUUUCGAUGUGAGCAUCUUUAGAGCUCUCUUCUGUUUGGUAUGGUGACUAGUCACAUUCGAGAUGGUGAUUGCCCCAGCCGUCUGGGUUCCUGAGUGACUUCUACCAUAUGAACAAAACCUCUGGGUUUAUUUACAUGGGCAUGUGAGGGAGACAUAAAUAUUUUGGUACAAACUACUGCAGUUAGGGAAUUUUUGUUUUUCGUGCCUAACCUAACUUAUCUUGACCAAUACAGGAAUGAAUCCUGAAAGCAGAGUGCUGCCAUUAAAAAAAAAAUCUAAACUAAACUACCUAUUACAGUGGCUUGGGUGAUAGAUGGUAAUGCUGCAUGAAGUGAUCCACAUUCUACCAUGCUCUGGCAUAUUAAACAUCUUACAGGCAUUUCCUACAAUCCUCAAGGCCAAAUUCCAAAAGUGGAACAUGCACAUCUCUCCUUAAAAACCAAAUUACAAAGACAAACAGGGAGUACAGCUACCUCCACAAAUGCAAUUAGAUCUUGCCACUUUCACUUUAAAUGUUUUUAAUCCACUUGCAGACAGUAAAAGUACUCCAUCAGAGCUCCACUGGCAGAAGGAUGAUGCUGUGGAUAAGCUCAAGGCACACAUUUUAUGGAAAGAUGUCCAAAUAGGAAAGUGGAAUGGGCCAGUGCAACUAAUAACAUGGGGAUGAGGGUGUGCCUGUAUUUAAACAGAUAAUGGUACACUGUUAUGGGUGCCAUCCCAGAAUGUGUGGUCACGGAGAGAGGACAACUGCAAACCUGUGGUGGAGCCUGCCACCACCAUACACUCCAGUGUAAGCUUUCUCUUGGAUGACCCUGGAAGAAACACUUCAGUCACUGAGAACCAUACAAGCAAUGAAACACAUGACAUGGGGUCAAGGGAAGAUGACCCAGGAAGCUGAGAAGUUGGUGGUGAGCCACAGGCUCCUGUGUUCCCCAGAAAAUACAUUUAUUGCUAUGAUGGCCAUAUCACUUUCACUGUAUGUAUAAGCCCUGUGUCCAGAAAGGAAUAUAGGGCAUAUGUACCAAAGCCACCUUUAUUAUGACCCCUUAUGUGGGCAAAUUAUUCUCCAGAAAUUCAUCAUGAACAGUUAGAUGGGUGCCAGGGCCUUAUAGGGCCCACAAAAUUGUAAAUAUUAAUAGCACCUUAAAUUAUACAUCACCUCUUAUAUCCACCCUUGUGCAUUGAGCCCAGGUCCUUACAAUCCAACUACUGCCUGUCCUUUCAGCCACAAAUUUGGGUGGCUCACCAGGAAAAACAGUUGAUGAUUCUAUCAACAGUUGGGAUCUAUCAAUAUCUCAGAGGAAUGGGUUAACAUCUCCAAGCCCAAUGUUCUCCUGUGUACACCUUAUACAUCUUGCAUUGCCACAGAUGAGCAUGCGUUCCCCCCGCCCCAACCUUGGGCCUCCUAUAAAGGAGACAAGGGACAAAAAAUGCACCAAAAUCAACUUGACUUUAUACAUUGGAACCCUUGAGUAAGAC
ensembl:lncRNA